CGAACGCUGGCGGCGUGCCUAAUACAUGCAAGUCGAGCGGAGNRNMAAGNAGCUUGCUYYKGKVCGUUAGCGGCGGACGGGUGAGUAACACGUGGGCAACCUGCCCCUUAGACUGGGAUAACUCCGGGAAACCGGAGCUAAUACCGGAUAAUCCCUUUCUCCACCUGGAGAGAGGGUGAAAGAUGGCUUCGGCUAUCACUAAGGGAUGGGCCCGCGGCGCAUUAGCUAGUUGGUAAGGUAACGGCUUACCAAGGCAACGAUGCGUAGCCGACCUGAGAGGGUGAUCGGCCACACUGGGACUGAGACACGGCCCAGACUCCUACGGGAGGCAGCAGUAGGGAAUCUUCCGCAAUGGACGAAAGUCUGACGGAGCAACGCCGCGUGAGUGAGGAAGGCCUUCGGGUCGUAAAGCUCUGUUGUGAGGGAAGAAGCGGUACCGUUCGAAUAGGGCGGUACCUUGACGGUACCUCACCAGAAAGCCACG
rnacentral:rRNA from 1 species